rnacentral:rRNA from 1 species
GACGAACGCUGGCGGCGUGCUUAACACAUGCAAGUCGAACGAGUGGCGAACGGGUGAGUAAUGUAUGGGGAUCUGCCUGAUGGCGGGGGAUAACUACUGGAAAAGGUAGCUAAUACAGCAUAACAUCCGCUGAACCCAUAUGGGAUUAGCUAGUAGGUAAGGUAACGGCUUACCUAGUCGACGAUCCCUAGCUGGUCUGAGAGGAUGAUCAGCCACACUGGGACUGAGACACGGCCCAGACUCCUACGGGAGGCAGCAGUGGGGAAUAUUGCACAAUGGGCGCAAGCCUGAUGCAGCCAUGCCGCGUGUAUGAAGAAGGCCUUCGGGUUGUAAAGUACUUUCAGUCGGGAGGCGUUACCGACAGAAGAAGCACCGGCUAACUCCGUGCCAGCAGCCGCGGUAAUUC